GCCAGCAUGGUGUAGUGGUUUGAGCACUGGACUAUGACUUUGGAGACCAGGUUUGAAUCCUGGUUCGGCCA